CCUAUGCUGGACUGCCCCUCCUCCUGAUGGUUCUACUGGGAGUACUGGGAGGAUGCUGCUGGAGAAGGAGACGCAAAGAAGCUGAAGAAGCUGCCUCAGAGGAUGUGAUUUAUGCGGAUGUGGUGCAAAAAAAAAAGAAGAACAAAGCGCUACAUAGGUCGGACCACGAGACUACAUGCAGUUCAGGACAAAGUCCGCGACUUCCGCCCAUCAGAAUACCAGAUCCAGCUAUCUACAGUCUCCUGGGGUAAAAACCUGUCAAAUGAGGUUCAAACAGAGGCAAAGUAUAGAUUCCAAAAGGAUGGAAUGCUACGUUCUACGUGAUGUCGCCGUUAUUAGGAAAAA